rnacentral:piRNA from 1 species
UACCAUGGUUCAAGUGGCUCCUUUGGGUGA